rnacentral:rRNA from 1 species
UACGGAGGGUGCGAACGUUAAUCGGAAUCACUGGGCGUAAAGCGCGCGUAGGCGGUCUGUUAAGUGGGAUGUGAAAUCCCCGGGCUUAACCUGGGAAUUGCAUUUCAAACUGGCCGACUAGAGUGCGGUAGAGGGAGGUAGAAUUUCCUGUGUAGCGGUGAAAUGCGUAGAUAUAGGAAGGAAUACCAGUGGCGAAGGCGGCCUCCUGGAUCGAUACUGACGCUGAGGCGCGAAAGCGUGGGGAGCAAACAGG